GACGAACGCUGGCGGCGUGCUUAACACAUGCAAGUCGAACGGAAAGGCCCUGCUUGCAGGGUACUCGAGUGGCGAACGGGUGAGUAACACGUGGGUGAUCUGCCCUGCACUUCGGGUUAAGCCUGGGAAACUGGGUCUAAUACCGGAUAGGAGCCAUUUUUAGUGUGAUGGUUGGAAAGUUUUUUCGGUGUAGGAUGAGCUCGCGGCCUAUCAGCUUGUUGGUGGGGUAAUGGCCUACCAAGGCGGCGACGGGUAGCCGGCCUGAGAGGGUGGACGGCCACAUUGGGACUGAGAGACGGCCCAGGCGCCUACGGGAGGCAGAAGUGGGGAAGAUUGCACAAUGGGCGCAAGCCUGAUGCAGCGACGCCGCGGGGGGGAUGACGGCCUUCGGGUUGAAAACUCCUUUCGCUAGGAACGAAGCUUUUUGUGACGGUACCUAGAGAAGAAGCACCGGCUAACUACGUG
rnacentral:rRNA from 1 species